UACGUAGGGGCCGAGCGUUGUCCGGAGUUAUUGGGCGUAAAGCGCGCGCAGGCGGCUUGGCGCGCCCGACGUGAAAGCCCCCGGCUUAACCGGGGAGAGUCGUCGGGGACGGCCGGGCUUGAGGGCGGGAGAGGGUGGUGGAAUUCCCGGUGUAGUGGUGAAAUGCGUAGAGAUCGGGAGGAACACCUGUGGCGAAGGCGGCCACCUGGGCCGACCCUGACGCUGAGGCGCGAAGGCGUGGGGAGCAAACAGG
rnacentral:rRNA from 1 species